AAAAUAAUAUAAUAUAGUUUUGGUAUGGAUAUUCUCUUUUAUUGUCUUAAAAGUUAUUUUUGUAAAAAUGGACAGAAUGUAUUUUUCUUUUUUGGCCUCCGUGUUCAUUCAUUGAAAAAAGUGGACAUCGUUUUUAGAUUUUUCUCGUAGAAACUAUCAAGAAGCUCUACUCGUAUUCUAUUUUAAGAAACAAUCACAUUUUCUUAUUUGGACGGAUUGUAUUUUCCUUUUUCGGCCUCCGUAUUCAUCAUUAGAAAAAAUGGAUAUCGUUUUUGAAUGCCUCUUAGUCAAAACUUUUAAGAAGCUCUACUCAUUCGCGCAUUUCGAUAUAGUUGACGUCAGAUCUUGUCAGUGCUUUGGCAGGUGGGUGAGAAUUUAUCUAACUAUCGAUUCAGCGUCGUUGUAACUUCAUUCUUAUUCCUAAAUUUUUAAUUAAUUAUGUAACUUUGAUUUUAUGUUCCGCAUGAUUUUCCAAUUGUCUUUUGGUGAUCCUAUGAAUCGUUUGCUGAUUUCGGGCACAUUCAGACACAUUUAUUGUGUGUUGUAGGGCUGAGGAUGAUAUGGAACUCUGGUGAUUCACAUAGUUUAUGGAAGUGUCAAUUAAUGUAUGAUGUGAGAGUGAAUUAGAAUUCAUGAGUGUAAAAUAAGUUAAAUUAACGUAAAAAUCGUAUUUUCCGCAAUUCAUCUUAAGACUUGCUAUGUGUGGCUGAAGCCAUUUGAAUAAUAAUUGACUAAUAAGAACACUUAAAAUUUGGUGAGCUUAAAACAUGAGUUAGAAACUUUUAUAUGGUGUAUUAUUAAAAUGGGUUUUAGCUACAAUCCUCUAGUAGAUGCUUUAAGAUAACAAAAACAAAUAAAUAAUGAAUAAUCAUUCCCUACAUGUAUUUGCAAUGUGUGCAUAUUAAUUUAGCAGACAAAGAGUUAUAUUAAUGACUAUUCAUCUUAUAGUAGCAUAAAUUUCAAAUAAAAUAGAGACAAUAAUCUUAGUGUUUCUUACACACAAAGAUUAUUAUAUCCAAUUAUACAAGUAAUUGUGACCACUGAGGGAGGAAGACAUAAUAUUGCAAGUAUAACGUUAUGUAGUUCAAAGUCAAAUGUUACCUUGAUUUAAGCUUUAUCCUCUGAUUAUAGGAAGAAUACAAAGGAACAACAAGACUUUACUUCAUUUAGUUGUUUGAUUUUAACGCAAGUGCUCUAACAUCUGCCUCCAGCGAAGUAAUGUUAUGUUUUGACUGACUCUUAUAACACAAGCAAUAUUCUAGUUCUAAUGACUCUUGAAAUACAUCAUAUAUUCUGUUUCAAUAGUCUCUAAUGAAUGCAGUUAUGCUCUGGUCAUCUGCCUCUGAUACGAUUGAUAAAACAGGUAAUCAAUUGCCUCUAGUAAGCUUGUCAAGCAAGUGAUUGUCUGCCACUAGUAAUCACAUCAUCACUUCAGGCUUCUGAUCAUCUAACUCUAACUUAUGUCGUAUGCUCUAAAGGAAAUCAAUGAUCUAAAAGAAGUCAACGCUCUGAUGCAAUUUAAUGUUCCAAAGAAGACAAAGCAAUUGCACAUACUCUUAUCAACAUCUUAAAUCUACUACUUGUUUGAAAGUCUUCAAGACAAGAUCUGAUCAUAUUAUCCUCUACUUUGCUGACCUCAUAAUCAAGAUACAUAAAAUCGAUCACGAAGUUAUAUAUGGAUAAAUAUUAAAGAUUGAUCUGCCUGAAAUGGUGAUUGAAGAUUUCCAACGGUAAUAUUCUCCACAAACAUUAUUAUCCAAUUUAAGAAAAACAUACUCAGACCAUUAGAACUAUGAGAGAGAAAAACAUAUGUGUUAAGAAGAAAAUUUGAAAAAUGCAAGAACGCAUCAAAAGAAAAUAAUGUAUGAAAUAUCCUCUCAAUAGAGAGUUAUUAGAAUUUAUGUAAAUCAGUAAAAGUGUUCUCUCACAUUUGUAUUGAUAUAAGACUUGAUAUGUAACAUUCUCUCAAUGAGAGUUAGAAUCCUAAAAAUAAACUUUGUGACAAAUCAGACACAAACUAGAACUGAUUUAAAUCAACCUGAUAGUGGCAAUAACCUUCUCACGCGUAAGAGGUAUGUGAAAAGGUACCACGACUCUCAUGAAUCUCAACGGCAAGAUGCCAGAAAGUUGAAGAAAGAUUUGAUGAAGACAACUUGGAAAGGCUAGAGAAAAAUACUAAAAGGCUGAAAAGGAAGAUUAAAGAAUAUUUUUAUGCUAUUUAUGGAAAUAGUGGAUUAAGUUACGACUGUACUGAAGCAAAAUCUCUUUGUAAAUGGAGAACUAGAUAUAGG
rnacentral:lncRNA from 1 species